rnacentral:rRNA from 1 species
CUCGCAUCGAUGAAGAACGUAGCGAAAUGCGAUACUUGGUGUGAAUUGCAGAAUCCCGUGAACCAUCGAGUCUUUGAACGCAAGUUGCGCCCGAAGCCUUCGGGCCGAGGGCACGCCUGCCUGGGCGUCACGCAUCGCGUCGUCCCCACCACCCNNCUCGAACGAAGCGGGUGCGUCGG